UUCACUUGCCCCUCCCACUAACACGCUCCUCUGCACUCUUCUCACGCUCUUCCUCUCUCUGGCACACGCAACCCAUAGGCGUACAGAGGAGAAACUGACACACACAGCAACUCUACAGACAUGUCGGACUCUGAGACCGCCGUUCCUACUGAGGCCCCCGUCCCUGCCACAUGUGCAAGCAUCAAGGCAGACCUGGACAAAUGUGUGAAGGAGGGGGGUGACUGUAAGGAUCUGAUGGAGGCAUUUGCAGCCUGUCUGAAGAGUGCAGCGGAGGCGCCGUGAGGAGAGCUAGACUCACACAAAAUGUCCAAUGCACAGGGUCCUCCAUGUUUCCCAGCAUUCCCUUCUGCACAUCAAGCACUGGGCUGAAUGAUACUGGUGGUGUUCAGCGCCUGGCAGAAACCAUCCACCUCUUUACCUCCCUCCCCAACCCACCUUGAAGCUUAAAUGGUGUCUUCUGAUUUAUACCCCUGCGCUGCUCCCACCGUGGCUGAGUACAUCCAAUUGGUAGACAAUUCUGGAGAGCCUAUGGGUUUUAUGCAAAUUGUCCACUUGAGAUGCAUACAUUUAAAUGGAAUAAUAAAGUCUAAAAGAAAUUGGUAUAACA